CACAAGAAUCCAAAUGCUAUUGCACAUCUCAGCAAUGACACUGGAAAGCUAGAAGACAGUGGAGAAAUGUGCCUCCCAACACCUGUGGAAAAACAAUUUUAAAUUUAGACCUCUUGAUGUAGCCACAUACUCAUUUAAAUCGUUUAAAUGUCAUGCAUUCUGGAUAGAAAGAUCAGAGCACUUCUGUACCUCACCAGACUCUCCUGCACCACCUGCUGGGCAUCGAGGAACCAGAUCUCUUGCACAACUCUGAGCACUGCAAUAACAUCUGUAGCUGGCAACUAUCGAGUCCGCACAGAAUCAAGAAAUGUUACAGACCACUGCACGCCUUUAACUAACUGCCCUUUAAAGGUUUAUUCCUUUAAAAACCUCUGGGCCAGGCUGAAACCUUGGAGUUGGCCUUUGGACAAGAGUCCACCAUCUUCUCCCCAGGUGGCUGGCCAACAGAGUAAAGCUCCUAUUCCUUUCCAUCCAAAGCUCCUAUCUUAAGUAUCGGCUUUUGGAGCAAUGGGCAGCUAAACUUGCUGACUGCAGAUUCCUGAGGAUGAGAAGCUCAGCUGCUGCUGAAGGGGAUCUUUGUCUGUACUUGCAAAUAUGAAUGAAAUGCAUCCAUUUCCAAGUACAACUGACUUUCAGCUAUGCUGGUUUCCCGUGGGGUGGGGUGGGGUGCAGUAGAGGUGGUGGAGAGGAGUCUUUAACAAGGAGAGCUUUGCUCUUUCUGAUUAGGAACUCAACUGGAACAAAAUCUUUUGGAGGCUCAGAUGUGAGGAAGUUCAAGGUGGCAGAAAAUUUACUGGAGGGAAGACCCAAAAUGUAGCAGUUGGAGAACUAGAAAUCUAGGUGACCACUGCACUUGUGUGGUUUCAGGGGAGAUGCCACAGGAACACCACUAGCUAAUACUGAUGGAGAAGUUUUGCUCAGGGAUUUAUAGGACUCAUCUGACUUACUGCACUUGACCCCCAUGUGAAAAUGGCCAAUCAAAUAAAUAAGAGAAGACUCAGCAUGCUUAUGGAACAUACCCAGGGAGGAAAAUGCCAGAGCACUGUACACUGCAUCUGGGGUCAGGGACAAGACCAGUCUCCACAGAACCUUCAGGAUCCUCAUUUAGAUAGGCAUGGGUGGGUCCAGGGUCAGUCUUCUGGCUGAGGUGAGGUC